AUAAUGUCUAUUGCUGCCUAAAAUGAUGAAACAAAUUUAGAGCAUUGGGUUAUGAUUGAAACCUGUGAUUAUAUGUUGACACCUGAAUUUUUUUUUUUAGUUAUGAAUAGGGUUGUUUGUCGUGUACGUCAUCUGAAUCCAUUAACCAAUACCAAGGCUUUGUUGAGACUCAAUCCUUACGCUGAAGUCCUGAAGCGACAAGCUGUGUUAACUGCCCAAAAAGGGAGUUACAGAGAGGCAAACAGCACGCUAAGAAGAGUGAUAACUUUGUCAGCCGACAGUGCCGUCAGCAGCAUUACAGAAGACGAGGAAACAGUUGUUGAAAGCAUUAUUUUUUGUUAUUGAUCUGUUUUGAAGCGUCAUUGCAGUUAUAAGUUGAAACACUUCUGUUCGGAUGAAGGAAAUUUUUUCAAGUUGAAUAUCUAAACUAUCUAAAGGAUUCAUAAAGGUGAUCGAAAAUGGAAGAGGUGGAACAACUUGUUAUAAAAGGACCAAAUUGAAAUGAAGCCUCUUAAACUUCUAUGGGGGUGGCAUUAUUUACACAAGCCAUUAGGAUUAAUUUCAAGAACCAUUGAAAAAGAUUCUGACUUGCCACAGUUCAAGAACAGGUGUAUGAAGACAGCAGAAACUCUAGUGUUACACAUCUUAUACAUCAUCUCCAUCUUGAUGUGUCAUAAUCGAGAAACCAUCCAGAUCUGGAAAAAGGAGCUGCAGACAACUGAACAAGUCAUUAAAAAUAAAGGUAUUUCGUGGACCUAUGUUGUUUGCUUAUUUGAUAUUUGCAGAAAAUCAAGCUGAGAUUCUAAAAAUUCGCUGUCAAUGUUUACAAACAAGGAACUUUCAGGUUCAAUGGAAAGAUAGGAAGUAAAAUUGUGUGUUGUCUCAAAGGAUAUCUAAUGGAGUGAUCGAAUUAGUUCUUAUCUGAAGAAGUUGCAGAGAAUAUAUUUCUGUAAAACAGAUCCUAAAAUAAUUACUUCUUGUAAGACUCUGAUCUGGAAGGUCUAGGAACCAACGUAACAGGUUUCUGCCGAAAAACUAAAUUUUCAGCAGUAAUAGCCCAAGGGAAUUAUGAGUGAAUUUCAAUACAAUGUUUGAAGUACCUUCAAAGGCUACCUGUAUGAGAAAAUUAUAAUGAAAUUAUGUAUAUCAUGUUAUUGUGAUAUUAAUUUGAAAAUGUUCCGUUAUAUUUUCUAAAACAUUAAGAAAAAGCAUUGUUUUAUAUAUUAUAUGUUUUGAAUAAA